rnacentral:sRNA from 20 species
AGAUGGAGCACGUCGCAGGCUAUCGCCCCCGCCGCGACGUGUUCCGGGAACGGGCGAAGGUCCGUUCCCACCGAUACCUUCCGGAAGGAGAAUGCCCCCCUCCGUCGGAAGGUGCGGCGGGCGGUGAGGUCCCCCCAGCUUCACCGCCCGUACUU